rnacentral:ncRNA from 1 species
UCUCUUCGAGAGAAGUUGUGGUAUCUCUUUCAUUCACUUCGGGGAAUGAAAUCUGAUUAUUUGAAUGUGCUUGAAAUAGCAAUCCCCUCGACCUAUUCUCAAACUUUAAAUAGGUAGGACGACGCGACUGCUUUGUUGAGCCGCACAUGGAAUCAAGAGCUCCAAGUGGGCCAUUUUUGGUAAGCUGAAGUGGCAAUGCGGGAUGAACCGGAAGUCGGGUUACGGUGCCAAACUGUGCGUUAACCUAGAUCCCACAAAGGGUGUUGGUCGAUUAAGACAUAGAUCAUUAUUUUCCUUAAGUAGAAGACAUUGCUUAAGAGUAUUUCUCAUAUAUUUUUCAAAUUAUUUUUACUUCAGGAGAA